rnacentral:snRNA from 1 species
CGCUUUGCACAGUGACAGUAUCAUAGCCAAUGAGGUUUAUCCGAGGCGUGAUUAUUGCUAAUUGAAAAAAUAAUAAUAAUU